AUGCAAUGUGACUCUUCAUCUUGUACGAGAACUCAGCACUCUUCUCCUCUCUUCUACAGCGGCCACGACGCUCAACUAUUCUCUGACUUUCUUUCGACGAAGUGCCACCUUGGACUCGUCUUUCCUUCCGUUCCGCCUCGUGCCAAUCUCGUGGCUCACGGUUCGCUUCCUUACCAGCUGCACGCGUCCGCCUCAUUUCGUUCACCUUUCAACCUUCGUCAUAUCUCAUCUCCGUUAAUCUCCAUGUUCAACCACGCCAUCGUCAUGGCUUCAUCCUCAGAAAUCCAGAGAAUUGUUGAUGUAGUAUUGAAGCGUGGUGCAGUUUGA